CGGGGUGCACCAGGCGCGAAACCUUCACAAUGCGCGAAAGCGUGAUGAGGUUAAUCCGAGUGGUCCCCGCUGAGGGGAUCUUUUGUUGGCUCUAAAACGGUCAGUGAAUAAGGGGAGGGCAAGUCUGGUGUCAGCCGCCGCGGUAAUACCAGCUCCUCGAGUGGUCGGGGCGAUUAUUGGGCCUAAAGCAUCCGUAGCCUGUUCUGUAGGUCCUCUGUUAAAUCCAACGGCUUAACCGUUGGCCUGCAGAGGAUACCGCAGGACUAGGAGGCGGGAGAGGUGGACGGUACUCUACGUGUAGGGGUAAAAUCCUUUGAUCCGUAGAAGACCACCAGUGGCGAAGGCGGUCCACCAGAACGCGCUCGACGGUGAGGGAUGAAAGCUGGGGGAGCGAACCGGAUUAGAUACCCGGGUAGUCCCAGCUGUAAACGAUGCGAGCUAGAUGAUCCGGUCGCAAAUCGCGAUCGGAGUGUCGCAGGGAAGCCGUUAAGCUCGCCGCCUGGGGAGUACGGUCGCAAGACUGAAACUUAAAGGAAUUGGCGGGGGAGCAC
rnacentral:rRNA from 1 species